UUUUUUUUUUUUUUUCCGGAGAACUCUGCCUAGCAGCCACAAAAAGGAAAAGUAUGCGAAAGUAGGGAGUAAAGUCAGAAACAGUGUUACCCUUUUUGGAGAGAACACUGCUGGGGAGCGCCCUGCCGGCCUGCUCGGAGCCCUUCCUCCCCUCGGAUCUUCAGCUCUUAACGAAAUUAAUCUGCAGUGAAAUCACAGAAAUCUGAUUCUAAUCAUCCGCCCUGGAACAAGAGCAGCUACGGGACGGCAGGCAUAGUGUAAAAAUACUUUAAGCGUGCAGAGCCGUAUCAUUAACAUUAAAACCUGAUGGUGUGAAAGAGGGGAGCGGGGAGGAGGUUUCUGUGCCUCUUUAGCACUCUGCUUGCAACUUCUCGUGCAGCUCCUCAGGUAUCGCAGGCGAGCAGUGAUCGCUGCUGUGGCACUUGGUGCUGCUGCUCGGUCUGUGCAGCUGGUCGGGAAAUCAGAGUUUUCUCUUCCAUAGGAGAUGUUCUCAAUGGUGGUUUGCUUUGUAAAGCCGGGUAAACGGCUGGGUUUAGCUUUUGCCAGAUUCAGCGUAAUCUGGAUUUUUUUUUUCCAGCAGUAAUUGUUUUCUUCCUGCAUUUAAGCAACUCCGACAAGUUCGGCUCCCAUAGCCCCGUGCUGGAGCGCUGCGCAGCAUCCUUGGAGGUGCUGGCUUUGGAUUUGGGUCCUUCAUUCAAGACCCAGACAAGGUGUGGUGCUUGCAGAGCUCAGCAUCUCGCCAGCAUCAGGAUGCGUUAGAUCUGUUUGAGCUUCUGCCUCUUCCAUUGCUUCUGGAAACUUUUUUUUUUUUUUUUCAUCGUGAAGUUUGCCAAGGUGAAAGGACACGUUUUUGUCCAAGCAAUAUUCAUCCUUUUGAGCUUACAUGGAUGCAGUUCGUGGCUGCCAGAGCUCUGUGGAUGGGCUUUCUGGCGCUAAGAAUGUAUUUUUUCUCCAUUCAUCUGCACUGUUAGCAGCUAUUGUAGCCGUACGUGCUACCUCGAUAAGUGCUCCCCAGCUCCUGUUUGUGCCCCAAGGAACACGCAGUGCCACGCAGAUGUAUUUCUCAGCAUCUGUUUUACACUGUUCAGUUUAAACAUUCUCUCUGAAUUAAAGUUCAGGCUGGAAGAGAGCAUUCCCUCGUGCCCCAAAUGACUUUUUGUGGGUCAGAUUACAAAGCAAAAAUAUUUUAUUUUUACAUAAUAUUGCUCCGAAGGCUGGACUGGGGGUAGGCCACGCUUUAGCACUUUCCAAAUGCUAAAUACGAUGGUUCGAGCUUCUGCUGCAAGUUGUGGACAAGCUCUUAAAUUACUGCUUUUAGCUCUGGAGCUUUCAAUAACGUGCUUUGCUCUCUGGGAUGCAGGCUGUAUUAUUUCCCCCCCACACCCCAGUUAAUAAUGGGGCUUUGUUUUAUUUUCACUUCUAAACUUUAUGCCUCUCUUGCUAAUGUUUCUGUGUGUACAAAUGUGCUUUCUUCAUCCGUCAGACUUGGCAAUACUUAAGCCACAAUAAACUAGUUCUGGGCAGUACAGCAAGGCUCUCUAUUUAUCAGGGCCUUUCUGGGGAAGUUUAUUACACUGCAAGAGUGACAUUUUCAGCCUGCUGAAAGAGUUGGUAAAUAUUUGGCAAGUCCUGCUCCUUCAACAAAAAAGGGGCCAUAUUUUAUCUGUGAUAAGGCCUGAAAGAAAACUAUCUAGGCAUUAAGGGCCUGAGUUGUUGAGCAGAGGGGUGGGGUUCGUGCAGGAUAUUCUUUGAAUUGGACCAAGAAAAGUCAAAUGUUUGCCUGCAAUUUAGGAACCGCUGGUCCUCUAUGUUUGCAAAUAGAGACCUUCAAGCCAGGGUUGUAUUUGGAGUUGCAGAAGGGCACUGAGUGUGGUAAGUCUGCAGUAUCUGCGUUACAGGUUUAUGUGAUCAAGGAGGGAAGGUUUGAGCGGGCUGUGCCUGCUAUCAGCACUGCUGUUCCGUCUGACCUUUUGCAGAAGCCCGGCCAUGUGCUAGAGCCUUGCACCCUGGGUGUGCAGACUUUUGUAGGCCUGAAGCUCACAGAUCUCUCCCUUCCCCCUGUUCUCCGCACCGUCCUCAGGUGGCAAGCCCCGUGCUCUGUGCCAGCCUUACUGCGGGCCGCUCCUUCCCCACGCGGGGGCAAGCCAGCUGAAGGGAGCGCGCUUUUCCCUUCCCACUGCUGGUCUGCUUGAGAAAAGCCUUCCAGCUCCUGCCGGCCUCAUCGCUUCCCUUCCUGGGGAUCCAAAAGCGAUGUCCCAAAAGGGGAGAGGAGGCAGGAUGCCUCGAGGGGCUGCAGGGCACAGCGUUCCGAGGCUUCAGCCGCUUCCUGCAGUCCGUGUGCCGUCCCUGUAAGGCACAGAGAUGGGUGGCAUCUGCACGGCUCCCACGCAGCGCUGUCUCCCUUUGCCGGGUAUUAUUUCUGGUUAGUAGAGGGGUUUCACCUUUCUGCCUGGGUUCAGUUGCUUUGGGAGAGGGAGUGAAACAGAGCGUGUGAGCACGUGGUGGUACUGAUAGGGGGAUUAGAGCUGCUCAGAUCCCAGAGAGGGGAGUGUCCCAUGCGGGGCUGGGAACCCGUACUUGCUGGGGGCACAGUGGGACUUUGAAACCCCGUCACCAGUCUGUGUUUGCAUGAAGCUGAGAGCCAGCAAGUGUGGAAAAGGAAUCAUGAGGCUGUGAAGUGUAAGAAAUGAGCCAGGAGUGAUGCUGGUCUGGCGACAGCUUCUGCUUCCCUGCCUACCCAGUGGACUACAGGUUAAUGGCAUAUUGCUUUAGCACUACGUAAUCAAAAUAUUUCGGAGGCAUUGCUGAGUAGCUGUGGUUUUGUAUAGACUUCCUGGCUUUUACGUGGAUCCUGGUGGCCUAUCAGCUCAGGAGGAUUAGGUUGGUGUUUUUUUCCCAUCCAUGGCAGCAGUAGAUCUUUGUUCUUCCUCUCUUCAGACAGAGUUUUUCCCAGUGUCCUGCAGGUCCAUGUGGGUCUGUGUUGUGCUCCGAGGCAUCAUGUGGGAUUGGAAUAUUUCUCCAGUGCAGAUUCGUGACACCACUUACAGGCCUGGGAUUGGAGUCUUGACCGUGCCUGCUAGCGCUGCCGUUCAUUAACAUUACUUUAAUUGUGUGACGUCCCAUCUGACCAAGGUUCUGGAGUCAUGCUCGGGCAGUUGUGUUCCUCUGCGUUCUGAAGCCAUCGCCCGCUGCCCGGGAGCGCUCUGUGCACAGCGGGGCUCCUCGCUGUGCCCUGCUCCCGCUGGAGUCUGGGAGCAGUGAAGUGGUGUCACACCGCUUCUUAACGCCGUUUCCGUUGUCUCUGUGUGCACUUCACAUAUUUUUUUGCAGUGGUAGGUAUGGCGUUUCCUCAAACUGUAAAAUUAGGAAGCAGAUUUCAUUCAGCGAUCUCUCUUUGCGUGGUAGCUUGUAAAAUACUGUGAGAAAUGCGGUUUAAAAUGUUACAAUUAAAUUCAGCCAGUAGCUUGCAGAAAGUUCCCGGCCCAGCGGCGUGCUGAAGUUAGCUGGGCUUUGUGCUUCUGGGAAGAAAUGUGAAGCUGUUUGGGAGCCUCCGCUGCUCUGUGCGGCGCGGGGCUCGGCGUGCCCUGCUGCCAGGAGGGUUACGUUCCCAUACACCAGCGCGGGAGUUUAAGAAACAAAAUCCAGAAGCUAUUUGACGCUCAGCUUCGUGACAGAGAGCUGCCCAGGCCGGGUUAGGGCAGAACGGACGUAGCUGAAACAUCUGGAAUAAUAUCACAUUUCCCCAAAACGGAAUUCUCCUUAAGAGCAGCAGCGAUUGCUGAUAUUUGAGAGGGUGGAGCGAGCAGCAACCGACCAAUGCUGGAAAAUGAAUUAAGAUUUUAUAGAGCGAAGUGCUGAGAUUCGGUUGGGGAUUCGUUGUGAUGAGAAGAUGAGCGAAUUCGGGGCCGUGGGACUCGGCGGGCAGUCAGCACCGAGCGCGGCAGAACAGGUUGUGGCAAACUGAUGUGCAAGCUUGGAGCCAGAAUCUGCAUGAAAAGAGAUUGCUUCAUAAGGAGGAACUCGAAUGUAGUUCACUUAAAACAGGCUAGAUUUAAAAGUACGGGUGCUAUUUUGGCACUUUGUGAAAGAUACAGUUUCCUCAGGUGGACUGUGCUGGGUGUAUGCUACACUUGAGGGAUACUUAACAAAAGUAGAUGUGAAGUCUCGGUUGCAUUUAAAAUGUUUUUAAUUGCAAAAUCUGCUUUGACUACAACGAUAUUUCGUAUAAUUGUGACUUCAUUUGUUAAUUUUGAAAGAAACAUUUCUGGAGGAGGAGAAUACUGCUAUGCAAAUACAGCCAUCUGCAGAGCAAGAAACAGUGAAGAGUUUAAUCACGACCGAGCUUGCCCAUUUCAGUUUAAUUUACCUUUGGCCAUAAAACCAAACAAAUAAUGCAAUGACUGAAAAAAUGUAAUCAGAUAUUUAUGGCAUACAGGGUUUUUUUUUUUUUUUUCCCAGUGUUGUGGAUUACUCAACAAUACAGUUAAAGUUAUUUUGAUAUAUUAGGAGUGUCUGUUUCACAGGAGUUACAUGGGCCCCAAACCAGUUUGAGUCUGCAUUUUAAAAGCAGCUUCGUUUGACUUGGUUUUGAAACAAUUGCCCUGAAAGCAAAAUUCCGCUGGAUAAAUGAAACUGAAAUUCUUAAAUCUGAGUUAGCGAGGGGCUUCCAAAAACGUCAUCCAAAGCAGUGCACCAAAGGAGCAGAACUCCUGCACAGCUCGUCCCGUGUCAGCUGCAGCGCACAGAGCUCCGCUGAGAUGAGAGCUGCGUUAAAUUUAGCUCCGGGAUUCACAUACUGCACUCGCUUCAUUGGAAGAGGUUGGUUCGCAUGUGGCAUAUUUCAGCUAGUUUUGCAUCUCCUUGGGGAGUAAAUCACAGCCUGAAUGAGAACAUUCACGCACAUUUAUGACAUUAGUGCUGCGUGCUGCUGGAGGCUCUGCGUGCAGUCAGACUUCAAAGCCAGCACUAUCCCUGCCCUCCUUCCUGGGUUCCCACCUUCUGUAACCGACUGUUAAGGGCAGCAGCACUCAAUGACAGAAUGCUUUUUCUGUGUCUUGUAAACUUCUUUAUGUAGGAAGAAGCUUCUCCCUUUAAGGUUUCCACUGGAGCGAGCUCUUCUCCCUCACCCUUCCAACGCAGCCCAUGUAACUGCACUUGUAUAACUAGUUGUCUCACAUGCCCCAAAUAAAAGUGUACUAACUCCAAAGAGUAAGGAAAACGCUUCAGAGCCAGUUUGAGGUGUUAUGUAAGAGUCGUUACAUAAAGUUUUGGAUGUCUUUAUAGUUUAAAACAUUAUUGCCUUAAAAAAAAAAAAACCCACAAACUGCAGUUUCUCUUGAAAACAUCUUGAAUUUAAACAGAAAAUGUUAAUUGGGAUUGUAGGUUGUCUGCGCCGCAGAAUGGCAGUGUCCAAGGCAGCAGGCCUGCCCGCUGCUCGCUGAGCACCUCUGUGAGCUGUGGGUGCCCGGCAGGGUUUGUCCCGUGCUGUGUCAGUUUGGUGGCUGGCAGUGUUCAUGGAUGAAUGGCCUCGAGUGCUUUCAUCAUUAUAGAGCAGCGUGUUCAGAAAUGAGCAUCUGCAAAGGCCCCUUUUCUAGCAUUCAAGUGCAUUUUCCAAAUAGAAGUACGUUGUAACUAGCUUGCCACCGUUGUUACACUAGUGCUGAGUUAAGGGCAGUUGCUUGCAGGCAGCAAGCGUAGGUUAAAUGAAAUUCCCUUCAACUUCACUAUUCCGGGCACGGCUUGGAGUGUAAGCAGCACUGCUGAGCUAUUACCUGAUGGCCAGGAAGGAAAAGAGCUGAAAAUAAAAACGAGUACGUUGACGUGGUGUCUGACCUGACGUCUGAUGAAGAAGAGCAGCAGGGAGCAGGCAGGGGAGGCACUGGGUUUCCACACUCAGCACGUUGCUGCCAGCCAGUCCUGGUGCCCCUGCUCGCAAUCUGUGAUGUCCUUCGGUCUGCUGGGGCCUAAGGGAAAAUACCGGCCUCGGUCUGUCCUUGGAAAGGACCCUAAAACUUGUGUGGAUAAAGCUGCUCUUCCAACAGUGCAUGCUGGUGGUUCUGCUUUUCUGGAUGUUGCUGUGACUUUCAAGUCUGUGGUAAGUGAAUUUGGGUUUCUUUAGCCUGUUCUUAUGGCUGUAAAACAGUGAUGUUAAGAACACGAGCUCAGCUUCACGUUGCCAAGUCCUGUCUAGCUGAAUUAAUGGAAUGUAGCAAACGAGGAGGAAGGUCCUGUUACUGCUCUAAGGAGGCGUCUGCAAACACAGGGUUGGGCUCCAAACCAGAGAGUAUUCCCAGUGUAUCUAGCUAUCUGUAGGAAAGCAUUUUGAAGUUACCAUUGUGAAGUGAAGCUGAAAUGAGAGAACAAGUCGUGUAAAUUCUCCCAGAGCAGCGUUACUGCUAAGCGGGGGGUUCCCUAAUGAUGCAUGUUUUCCCCACCUCGUGGAAGACGUUGCUGCACGUUGUACGACGACCAGCGUGGUGAGCAGAGAGCUGCACAACCUGAGGAAACACGGUCACCCCAUCGGAGCUGUGAGAAGAGCACUGGGCUCAGCUCUCUCUCUCUCUGGGGAAUGCUUUUCUUUCCUCCGGCUUUCCCUGGUAGCCAAAAUGAGCACUUUUUGUGAAUGCACUGGCAAUAAGCAAGGUGUGAUGUGAUUAGUUAGGAGGAGGGGCCAAAACACGUACCAACUCCUGGAUCUGUUGUCUUUCUCAAAGGGGACCUCCUUUAGAGACAAGUGCCUCUUCUCUUGUAAUCAAACCUCGUGCGCUCUCCAUUGCUGGUUGGAAAUUGAUUCCCAUGUGCUGUGCUUUAAUUGGAAUCUCCUGGCUUGUCAGUGUUGAACGGUUUUAGUGGGUGAAGGUGGGCAUGGUGCUCCCUGCUGCUAGGAUGCUCCAGCUGGCGCUCACACCCCUGCCUCGGGAUGCAGCUCUUGUCUGUCCCUCCGUGUUUCCUCGGUCACUGAGGAGGUGGCUGUGCCUUAGGAAAGGGAACUGUCUGCUCCCAGGCUCCUCUGCUUGCUCCUCCCUGGGGACUGGAGACAGUCUGACCUUCCUGAAAUCGUUACGAACUAGGAAUAAGCCUUUGCUAGGAAGGUGGAAAAGUGCAGUGAGAAAAAUGGCCGGGAUCUUGUACGUUGUGGCUGCUGAAACGUGAGUUUAUGUGAGCACCCGUAGCUGAUGUGUAUUUUAUGGUUGAGUUCUUCCAUCUGAUGAGUCUGCUGCUAGCAGUGCAAUAGUUUUAGUAAUGUGCUUCAUAUUUCUUUUGAGGAGUUUGUACACUCCUCAGACAUAAAAUAUUAUGGAGUCAUGGUUGGAAAAGAUCACCAAGAUCAUGUAGUCCAACCACUUAAAUGAAUGUACGUUGUUACCUGAAGCCCCAUGUAAGCCCAGAACUUUGAAAAUGCUUGUGAAUGAUAAUAAUUGCCUCAUGUUUUAAUGCUAAUAAAUAAUAUCCAUACUGCUGUAAUACCCAUAAUCGGUAUUGGUGAGGGCGUGGGGAGAAUGGCAACAAAAAUUGCAAUUAAAAAAAAAAAGCCCAAAACCAGAGUUUGGAUGAAUUCUUGGGAGUGUACAACCACGGGAGUACUCUUACAACCUUUCCACUUAUUGAGCCUCAAAGAACUGGGAAAUGGGGAGCAGUACAAUACGAGUGAGAUCCACUUCAAGGUCCAGGUCAGUAGCAUGCUUAAGCACAUGCUGAACUUCAAGCAUAUGAUUAAUCACAUCCCUGGUCCACGGUGUAAUUAAAUGUGUGCUUAAGUGCUUUGUACAGCGCAGUACCAGCCUGCAGGCGUACUCUGCAUACUGGUGUGCCUGAGAAAGUGGUGAAUCAGAAAGUGAUUUUUGGCUGGAGUUUGGAAACCAGCUUGAAAGAGCUGUUUAGGCACCCGGGUCUCAUAUUUGAAUAGCUAUGGAAAAGCUAGUCUUGUUGGCAGAACAGUGUAAGUAGCAAGGUGUGGCCAUUUAUUUUAUGGUAAUACCGUAGUUUUGUUUAAAAUGAAGUUAUUUAAAAAUCCCUUUUGCUUAGCAAUUUCCUGCUGUUCUCCUGUAACGCUUUGCUUUCCUUAAUGCCAGCCAGACUUGACUCUGUUCCAGCAACGCCAAGCUUGCCCGGCUGCUUCUCUCCUUACUGGUCGAAGUGCAGGUAGAUUCCAAACUGGAGGCAGUGUUGGUGGGUUGAUGACAGCAGCACUCCUGCCUCUCCUGUAGGUGAUCAGCCCGGGCACAGAUCUGCAGUAACACCCUCAGCUGGGACCCAGCAGGUCCGUGUGUGGAGCUGCUGUGAGAUGCCUGCACUGCAUGGCCGUGCCCACGGGACACUGCGCAGCUGAUGGCCGUGUGCUCGGCGUGGUCCUGGGCAGAGCUUUGGCCUGGGACUUUUCCAGCCAGCCCUGGAUGUGGUGUGAAAGUCUGUGUGGGCCAGGGACCAUUAUUAACAGGCUGUUUGGAUGUGGCUGCCCUGUGUCGGUGGCUUAGGUGAUUUCAGACUGGACUGGCUGGCCCCUGUGCUGUUUAAUUUACUAGCAGUCAUGUAGCCUCUUUUAGCCAGAGCUCCUCCCCUGGAGCUUUUUCCGAGCGUUCUCCCUUCCUGUCCCUUUCCUUGUGCCAACCACUUUAAUGCAUUAGCCUUCACACCAGCAGCUCCUUCUCCGUUGCUCUGGGAUUGUUUUGCCAACACGUUCGUUUGACCAUGCAAUGUGACCGGGCAUCGCUGUCAUGCUCUUCUGUGCCAGGCUGAGCUGGAUAAUGGUCUCUUGCCGCUGGAGGUCCUGCUGAUGGUGGCAGGGGUGUGAGAGGGGAGAAAUGAUGCUCCAAAUGGAAGAAUUCGAAGGAAAUGAGUUGUAAAAUGCCUGUGGACAAAACCACCCCUUGUCAGCCCUAGAAGGUGGGUGCCCUUCCACCAGUGCACAGGUGUGCAUUCAUUUCAGUGCCUCAGCACAGUGAGGACAGACAGCUUGGUGUUCUGCAUGGAAGCUGGGCCGCUCUGGCUGCUGAAGACAGCAGUCAGUCCGUCUUCUGAUAACUGGCAAAGUGAGAGACUUGCCGAAUUUAACUAACGUGUGUAUUUUUGUUUUGUUUUGGGUGAGAGAACCAAUGAGCCCAGCUGGCAUGGUGAUUGUACAGCACGCUUAGGCUUGCACAAGGACAGCCUGAUCAGAGUCAGUUUGUGGUGGCAGGACCCAAAGCUAAUUAAUGCCCUAUUAGUAAUUCAUUCAUGGCUGGAGGGAUUUCCCAAAUGCCAGGCACAGUUGUGCCACAGUCUCUCUUGGGGCAGGUCUUGUUUGGCGUAGGUUGGACCACGUUUAGGCAUGCAUUCGUUCUCUCAUGCUGCAGUUAAUAUUUUCUUGGGGACCUCUUGUGAUUUUCAAGAUGAUGAUCAGCCCAGUCUUCGCUCUGAAAGAAAAAUCUGAGAAAAGCUUCUUUUCAGAAGAGUAAAUCCCAUAAAUAACUGGAUUCUGGAAGCCUGCUUCGCCGGUAUUUCUCCACAGCAGCUCAUUAAUUUCAGGGCCAUGUUGGUACCGCUUGUUUUCUCGGUGCUGUGUCCUCUGGCUCGCUCACCUGGAGCCAGCCCCAGUUUUGGAAAGCAGAGUGCACACAGGGUCCCUGCAGCGCUGUGCGCUCUGAAGGCAGCCCUUUGUCUUCAGCAGGGUACCUGGAGCCGGCUCUGCGGCCAGCUGAAACCAGAGGCUGAGGCUCUGGUCUGGGCAGGGCAGGAUGGCAGCAGGCAGCUGCUGUCACAAGGGCCAGAGUCUCUGCUGUGAGCGGGUGUUACUCAUUUGGUAAUACCAGUCUAUUCCAGCUGAGGAUCUACCCCUUUGUUUUGUGUACAGGACAAUUUGUUUUCAAUUUUUGGUUCUGAAAUGAAACUGUCAAGAUGAAAUUCACACUUAGAAGAUUCAGGGAAACAGCCCUUUGUGCGUUUCUAACAAUCCUCUUCAGCGACUAAAGCUGGAAGAAUUUAGAAACUGCAUUCACUUCCUACCUUUGGUUUCUUUUUGUGCUGUUCUCGUGUGUGAUGAAUUUCAAAUCUAACACACCAAAAAAGCCGUCGGUCCCAAAUCCUCCCCCUGACCUCAGUGUAACCGAGGGACUUGUGCUCUGAUGAUGAAGCCCGGCUGUGCCUCCUGCGGCAGCAUGGGCAGCACAUCCCUGUGUGGCACGCACAGCCACGUGCUGCCUUUCCAGUUCAAGAAGGAACACGUAAACCCUCCAUGAAGGGGGGUUCCCCGGGGCAGGACACAUCCAUCCUCUGGGACUCUGCCAGCUACCCAACACAAGGAAACCAGAAUCAGGGUGAGAGAGCCUAACUGGGCUGAAAUCUGCAGCGCGUGCGGUUCCGUGCUGUGCUCUGCCCUGGUGAGCUCGGUCUGCUCGUGCUGGGGAGGCUCCCAGCUUCCUGCAGGGUCUCAGCGGGUUUGUGUUCUGAGUCAGCACAACAGCAGUGCUGCAGGGACCUCGUCCUUACCUGGGGCUCCUUCCAACUACAAAGAGCUGUUUAUUGUCAUUCCAAGAGGAAAAAGAAAAGAACUGUUUGGAAAUAAUAAAAGCAUGCAUCCCAUUUUAAUUUUAGUCCUAGAAACUACUUGAUGCUCAUUACAAAGGAAUUGAUUCCUUAAACGAAUGAAGCAGCAGUGCUGCUUUCAGUGUGGGACUGCUGAUGCUCUGACUCAUGCUUUGCAUCUCACAGGAUCGGGCUUUUAUGCUUCAUUUAGGACACCAACGUCAUUAGCAUUCAGAGAGCUGCUGCUUUUUUUUAUUACGAUACUGCUGCUACAUUUUUAUUUUUUUAUUUUUUUUUAAGAUGCAAAUAAUGUUUGGACCAGAAUCACAGCUCGUGUUUUAUUACCAAAUCAGGGCAUAAUAGUUGCUUUCAUAUGACUUUCAAGCGUUAGAAGAAAUUCUAAAUGAAAAUGAGGUGUGGCUUUGUACGGCGAUGAGAGGGGCUGAGGAAUUUGCUGGAUGCCAGGUUGGCUGCUGCCGUGCAGUGUCUUUCGCUGGUAGGAGAGGGGAGGACAUUGGUCUUGUGUUGCACGUGGCCGGGACCUUUGGUGCCCCAAACCUCGGCGUUCCCGCUGCAUGCAGAACAGCUGCACCAGCCCCAUCCGUGUCCCUGGCUUUGGCAUGUUUGCACGGCAGCGGCUCCAAACACGACGCUGCUCUGCGUGGCUGAAUGUGGCAGCUCAGCCCCAUUGUUCUGGAGCUGGAUGUAAGGCAGCCGCGUGCAUGUGAGUCCUGCCCAGUGCCUGGCCGGGAGAGGGGCACCCACACUGUGCGAGAUUGCUGCUCAUAGUGCUCAUCGUGGGACUUCAGUGACAGAGUCGUGUUUGUGUUAGGCUGUAACUUCUGGGAGUGGGGAAGACUGUCCUUUGUGGAUGGGCAGGGCAUUUUUAAUGCAAGAGGGGGAGAGAAAAAUAGUGCUGCGAGUCCUCAGUGGUUCCCUGCUCUGCUGCAAAGGCCCCGGGAGCCCUGGAGCAGCUCCUAAAUCCCUGUCCUCACGGGCAGCAGUGCUUGGUCAGCCUGCAGGGCUUCCCACAGCACUCAUGGGGACAGCGUGCCCAUCCAGCACCCCACAGCAAGCUCAGGGGAACAGCAGGGCAGGAGCACGCAUGGGAAUCUGCCUGUGGAUUCUGUUGAGUCCACCGCCAUCAAUACCCGUGAGUUAAAAGAAGAGUGCUACUCCUUGCCCUACGAACAUGCUGGGCUGGGCUGGGAAUUCCAAGAGGAUUUGUAAAUGAGGGUUGAAAAUUCCCAGCCAACUACUUGGCACCUUUUUAACAGGAAAAGUAUAGCUCUUAAAAAUCACAUCAUCUGAAAGCGGUUGAGAAAUCAGUCGCAAUUACCUAAUUGAGCUCCCAGCUUUAUUAAUAAAUCAAGAACAACUGCUCGUGCAGUGGGCGGGCGCUGCGACCCGCUCCCCCCGUCGCAGUGCACACACACCAGGUGCUCACCACGCUGGGCGCUCUGCAUUUACUGGAGGAAGUGCAGCGCUGCGAGUGCCAGUGCCGCGUGUGCUUGCAGGACCAGGCGUUGCUUCAUUUUGCCCCAGUGAUAUGGGGGCAUUUGAGGGUUGCUUGCAAUGAGGUAUGCUUUGUGUGGUGGCAUUUCUGCCGAGUGACAGACGAGCCAUCUGGCGUUACGCUGAAGUGCAGCGCAGCGUUUGCUUAGGAGGGAGCCUGCAGCGAUGACAAAGCAGUUCCACACCUCCGCUCCUGUGUCACGGCUGGUCAGCACGGCCGGGCUGCUGCUGACGAAUCAGCAAAGCCAGCAUGAGAUGGCAGAGCCGUGCUGGAGCAAAAGGAGCCCGUCAGACCUCUGCCCUCCUAGGGACGUGGAGGGGACUGAGCGGCAGCAAGAAAAAUGAGGGACUUUCAGGGGCAGCUGUGUUUUACUAACCCAGUCAUAAUGCCCCUAAAAAUCCUUAUUGUUCUUGCAAUGGUCAACUGUGACCUCCGGCACGGGGAGGCCUGGAAGGUAAGCACGAGUGCUGGGCGCACGGUAGGGCAGGUCUGCGUUCGGGAAGGCUUGCUUGCAAGCUGGAGUGGUGUUACAGGUUGGGGAAAGAGUUUCUGUUGGAGUGGAUUGGAAAAGAUUCACUGUUAAUUGUGGUACGGAGAGUGCAUUGUUGCAUGAAGCUCAGGGCAUGAGAACUGGAACACAAAGUGGGAGAAAUGAAAGAAACCAAGCACUUUCCCUCUCUGCUGUAUCAGUCUUGCAUUUGCGCCCAUCAGAGCAAAAUGCAGCCAGGGAUGUUCCCAAACCAACCGCAGAGACACAGCCCCCGUCCACACCACUUCAGCAGGAGCAUCGCUGGUUAACAGCAAGGCACUGGGGAGCAGGGGAGGGUGCACCCCGAGCCACAGAGAUUUACUGAUCCUUUAUUCAGCAUUAUAAAUUGUUCCACUGGUUGCAGGACAGUCACGGGACAUGGGAACGUGCCCGUGCAGCAUCACCAGCGUGCCUGGGCAGCAGGGAGCACCAGCUGCUCCACCAGCGGCCGCGGGGCUGGGCUGGUGCCCGCCCAUGUCCCUGUGCCCCUAUUCCUGCACUGCUGCCUGCUUGCUGAUGGAAGGGCUCCGUCCUGCAACGUUCCUGCUCACGUCCCUUCCUGUACCAUCCCAGGACCGAGCUCCCACAAAUGAUUUCAGCCAGAAGUGUUUAAAAAAAUUGUUUUCUCAGAUUCCAGGACAGUGAUGUGUGCUAGCUCAUUACAUCUGCAUUUCUUCUUUUGUUCUUUCAGUGUUCAAUUUAUUCUUUUCAUGCUUGGGAAAGUGCUGGUGGUUUUAGACUCAGUGCCAUUCGUUACGUUGUGAACUGCCCUCUCCUUGCUAACUCCCUGCUUUACUCCUCUUUCUGCUGAAUUGCUCUCAGUCAUUGCAGAUCUCUGCUCAUUCUCAUCGCUGUUUUCUGAGCUUCGUUCCUGCUUAGGUCAGACAGAGAUGCAGCAAUUGCAUGGAGAGAAGCAAUUUGUUAAAUAGAACUGUAAUAUUCAAUUAUCCGCCGUCUUCAUGCAUCCUAACACCUUGUUUGCACUUCUGAGAGCUUGGAUGUGUUAAGUUUUUAUUUUCAUUGAACUCUGCAACAAUGUUCAAAGCUUUUAUCCUCUAAUAACUCUACGCAAGGAUAUGGAUAAUCAAAUCAAUCUGGCUCCGCAGCAGUAACUGUCCUUUUCCCAGCAUCUGGUUGGUUUAGUCAUUACCUUUUUGAAAAGGCUCUGUUUAUCAAUUAAUUGAUAUGUUUAUCAUCAAUGAAUUCUGCUUUAUAUGACUGUGCCAACAGAUUAGAAAUGCAUGCUUGUUUUUAUUUUUUUUUUCCUUCUCUCUACACAGACUGCGUAGACUUGUCUUUACACAUCACUUACCCAUUUGUAAUUGGGCUAGAUGGCUGCGGAGCAAGCAUUACUCAUUUGUUAUUUGUCAUUCUCAGGAACAUUUCAACUGCUUUUCUUAAAGCUGAAUUCUAUGUAAAGGAGAAGUGACUAGAAACCCCAGAUUGGGUCCCAGGUCUUGCUUAACGUUGUAAGGCACACUGUCUUGCUGACGCGACUCCAGUUAAGGUAUGGUAUGAAUCAGGAGCUCGAACAGCCGCUGUGGAAUGAGUGCGUUCACAUGAAGUCAUCCUGCAGCAGCUAUUGCAGAAUAGUCAGCUGCCCUGUGUAAGCAAGCCCUAAAAGACAAUCCUGGUCCCAGCGAUUGUGUGACUAGGUAAGAGAGAUAACGGGCACAAGAAGGGCACCCUCCUGUCAACUGAGGAUGGGCUGGGAGCGAAGAAACUCGUGCUGCUCAGGGCCACCCUGCAGGCUGCUUCCAGGAAUGCGCUGCUUUUGGAGUGGUUUGGUUCAGGACUUUCUGCUUUGAUGCCUUCGACUUCUGAGAUGGGCCCAUGAUACGAAGCCGCAGGCCAUUUCCUCAUACAGCCAGCCCAGCGUUUUCACCUGAUACCAAAACAAGAUGGAAGGAAUUGAAUGUUUCCCCCGGUGAGAUGUGUGGAUGGAACUGAUCUGCCUUUAAGCCAGUAUCUACUGAAUGAACUAACCAGAACUGCCUCCACUGCUAACGAGUUGGAGAACAACAGUCUACUCUUAGUACUGAAAACAGGAAGAUCCGGAAGGGGUUUUUGUUUCUAUGUUAUGAUUUUUAUCUUUAGUAUUCACAUCUUACUCCAAGUAAGAAUAUUUAUAUGUUAAAAUAAACACAUUUUUGCUUUGUAAUACUGGAAUGAGCCUGCCCAGCUUCUUCCUAUCACAGCUCUGCCCCAUGAAGAGAACCCACGGGUGGAUGUGAAGCUCGGAGGGGCCCCUCCGAAUGCAGGGGAUGCGCACAGAGCAAUCCUGCAACUCAUCCCAAAGCCGGUGCCUGGAUGAAUGGAUCUUUUUCUCAUGUGCUAUGGGAACUCUGCCUAUAUAAGUGUCUGACAAACUCUUCCAGUGCGUUAUAACCUUGUAUCUUCUACCUUCUGGUAAGCCACAAUUUCCUGCUUAUGCAUCUCUGUGGAAGAAGCCCUUCAUAUAUGUGACUGCAUGCGGUGAAUAGGAGAGCAAGAAGAGUUGGUGUUAUUUUUAUCCUAUCUGUUCUCAGAACAGCUCUCCCAGUCACACACCCCUCCAAGAGCCUUUCGGAGUGGAUGGCAGGUGCAGAGCCCUGUGGGGACACUUGGUACUGGGCCAGGGGCUGGCAAGCAGGAGGGCUCCUGCAUGCCCUGCAGGUGGGAUCCUGCUCCGUUUCACUGCAGGACAUUCUGAGCAGACCUGUGAGUCCAUUUCUCUGUGCUCAGGCCAAAGCACUAUGGACAAAUUUGGCUCUUCCUUUUGAAACAUCAGUGUCACUUAACACCUCCGGUCUGGCUUGGAAAAUGCAGAAAUUCCUAAAAUAAAUGUGUUUUGAAAAGCAUACACAGGCAAUCAUGGUUUUUUCAGGCAGUCUCAAGUGAUGCCAUCAACUUCUACUCUGCUGAAGUGCUGCCCUAGACUUCCUGAAGUUGCCAUCCCUAGCAUAUGCUGAGUAGUAUGAACGUUAAAAUAGACUGCCAAAAUAAAGCAUCCUGGUACUUGCAUGCAGCUAAUUCUGCAUAGAUAGCAGAGGAUGUACUAAGCUUGAGCUACCAUUCACAAUUCUUUGCACAUCCUUUGAAAGCACCCAGUGUCUACAGGCAUUAGUGUGGGUACAACAGCCCACAAAGGAGCACAGGUUGCAGAGUGAGACUCGCCACAAGGAAAAGAAAAAAUCAAAGCAAUUGCAUCAGCAUCUUUCAAGCACUGGUGUUCCAGGCUGCACGGAGUCUGGCUGCAUGGGACCCAUUCUGAACUGCCCUGUGAUAUUAUCAACUGCUUUCAAUGCACAACAUCUGCCUGGACUAAUUUAAUGUGGUACAUUCAGUCAAAGGAAUUGUAUGUCAGCCACAUGAUCUGAAUUAGACCGGUGCAAGAAAUAA